CUAAACAAACUAUACAAUGUCCGCAGACAUCCUGAAACUAGCUGGCAAAACCUAGCAGUCUGUAUACAGUUAUGAACAUUUGGACAAGUUCCCACUGAUCUUCAGUUAGAUGAGCAAGGCAUAAUUGCUGUGAGACAACACAAUGAAAAAGUUUGUCAGAAUUGGGCUACUUUGCAAAGAUUAAUUCUUGUUGUAUGUCAUCUUGGAGAACAAGAGCUGGGCAUAACUUCCUGAAUCAGGGCAAUUAUGGAGAAACCUUAGAAUUAGUGAGUUCAAUGCUUUAUUCAAGCAGCAUCUGUAAAUUUCUAAUGCUUUUUCUGCAACAUCGAACAGAAUUCAGAAUGACCUCGUCGAAGCAGAUCUGUUUCAGUGAUGGUCAUUCCAGAUGUCUCCACUGUCUGGAGGGGACACAUAUCCUGUCAAAUACAAGAUCUGCAUGAGAUUCAGAAGCAGAGGAAAAUGAGGGAAGAUAAGGACUAUGAGUGACUCAGCCCGACGGCUGAGUCACUGAAGACCUACUGCAAAGCAGAGAGUGCCGGCAUGCCCCCAGCCAGCAGGAGAUGCUUGUGAGGGGCCAGUGGCCACACCAUUACAGGGAUGGAGACUAAUCUUGGACCUCAAAACACUGAACACAUUUAUUCAGACAGAGGUUCAGAAUGGUAACCUAAGCAGCAAUAAUACCAUCUCUAGAUCCAGAGGACUGGUUUGUGGCCCUCGACCUCCAUAAUGCAUACUUUCAUGUCGCAAUUUAUCAGCUCUCAGACGCUUUCUUUAGUUUGUGGUCAGCCACAAACAUUAUCAGUAUUGGACACUUCAGCCCUUUGACUGCCCCAAUGGUCUUCACAAAGGUUUUUGGUGGUGGUGGUGUCGCAGUUCAAUAACGAGCAGGUCAUUUUUCUACCUGUCUUCUUCCUAAAACCACACAAGACCUUUGAGGAAUGUUGGCUUCAUAUGUUAGAUGGGCCCUCACCUUUUAUAGUGAAAGAACUAAGCCCUUUCACAAGUCCACCCAACUCUUUGUAGCAGAAGCAGAAAGGAUGAGAGGGCUCCCUGUGCCACCCCAAAGAACUUCAUCCUGGAUAACCACCUGUAUCCGAGCUUGCUACGAGCAGGUGAAUGUUCCACCUCCUGGACAUGAUGACUGCUCAUUCCACAGGAGCCCAGGCUUCAUCAGCAGGAUUCCUUGAGCAGGUACUGAUUCAGAAUAUCUGCAGGGCUGCAACCUGGUCAUCACAUCCCACUACACCAUCAUCCAACAGGCCCAAGAUGACACCAGUUUCAGAAGAGCAGUGUUAUUGUCAGCACAUCCAUGAACUCCAAGCCCUCCUUUGAGAGUACUGCUUGUGAGUUACCCAGCAUGGAAUGUAUAGGGCAAGCACUCAAAGAAGAAAAACGGAUUACUAACUUUUCAUAACUGUUGUUGUUCGAGAUGCGUUGCUCAUGUCCAUUCCAUGACCCACCCUCCUACCCCUCUGUUGGAGUUACCAGCAAGAAGGAACUGAGAGGGUGCGGGGCUAUCGGCACCCCUUAUACUAGUAUAUAUGUGUGUGACUCCAGACAGCACUAGAGCCGGACCUACAGAUACCACUAAGGGAAAAAUCUCUGGCAACAGCGUGUACACACCUAACAUGGAAUGGACGUGAGCAACAUAUCUCAAAGAACAACAGUUACAAAAGGUUAAUAACCAUUUUUUAAGAUUGCUGUCAGUAUCCUGAUCACCAUGCGCAAAACAUAUCACUUACGCCAUUCCAACAAUAUGACAUUACAGUAUUUGACUUUGUAUACCUGU